CAGGCCCCAUAUAGAAGGCCUACCAAAGCAAAGUUUUCAAAAACUGCGGAAGGAUCAUUA
rnacentral:rRNA from 1 species